GAUAGAGUGUGUCUGACCCUAAUGGACCCCAGGAAUCUUCCACAAAAGCUCCUGACUCAUCCAAUAUGGACAAUGAUGCAGAAAAAAAUGUAAUAAUGCAUCAGGAGAGAACAUCUGUCAUGGAAGACCAAGAGCAUGCCUCAGAAGAGGAGAGGCAGCACCGUGCUAGAAAAACUAAGUGGCCAUUUAUUGAUGCUAUAAGAGCAUGCUUUUGUGCAUGUUUCACAAAAAAACGGAGCUCUUCUUCCCACUACAAGAAAU